rnacentral:lncRNA from 10 species
GGGGCUGUCACGGAGAUUCAGUGAGCUGAUACUGUAGCUGCUUAGAGGAAGCCCCACUCAACAUGGGGCUGUGGUGAAGAUUCAAUGAACUGAUACUCUAACUGCUUAGAAGAAGCCAGGUAAACAUGGGGCAGUCACAGAGAUUCAAUGAGCUGAUACUGUAGCUGCUUAGAAGAAGCCUGGUCAACAUGGGGCUGUCAUGGAGAUUCAAUGAGCUGAUACUGUAGCUGCUUAGAGGAAGACCGGCUCAACAUGGGGCGCAUGCACUGUCAGCCUCUAUGACCACCUGCGGCGUCCAAAGGCCCUUGUGCCACAAGGUCAGAGCAUGGGAUGUCAUGGGACAGAAUUCCAAGGAUUAAUCCGAGGAGAAAUGGAACCUGAUAUGAGCAGCUGUUGGGAAAAAAGCCCAAGACGACUUACAAUGCAUCUGUGGAGCACAAGUCAGGGCCUGGAAGAAUGGAGGACGCCAUUGCAAUGUACAAGCAUAUGGAAGUCAAGACCUAAGCCCAGCAUCUUCCUGUGUUCUCUCUGGCUGGAGGGACAAUUGAAGAUCAUUUAACCUGAAUGUCCACAUUGAGAUCUGCUCAUAUUAACAGCACUUCCAGAAUUGUAUAUAUUAACAACCCAAUUUUUUAUAGAUAUGGUAGCACAAAAUACUAAAUACGAAAAGUAGGUGUAUUAGUCUGUUCUCGUGCUGCUAUAAGGACAUAUCCGAGACUGAGUAAUUUAUAAAGGAAGGAGGCUUAAUUGACUCACAGUUAUGCAGGACUAGGGAGGCCUCAGGAAAUUUAGAAGGGGAAGCAAACACUUCCUUCUUCACAUGGCGCAGCAAGGAGAAGAAUGGGUGCUCAGAGAGGGGGGAAGUCCCUGAUAAAACCAUCAGAUCUCGUGAGAACUCACUCAUGAGAGUGAGAACAGGAUGGGGGAAACUGCCCCCAUGAUUCAGUUUCUCUACCUGGUCCUUCCCAUGACACGUGGGGAUUAUGGGAACUAUAAUUCCAGAUGAGAUUUGGGUGGGGACACAGCCAGACCAUAUCAGUAGGCAUAGGAAGAAAUAAGUGGACUUAAAAGAAUUAUGCCUUAGAAAAACAAAAUACCCCGUGAAUCAACUGGGUUUACAUGAGCAAAUAAAAGAGGAGCUACACAAAAUCCUAUGUAUUUAGUGACAAAAAGACAAUGAAAAAAAUUGUAUUUUCAGUCUUCUGUCCUAAAUCAGAAGUUUUAGUGCCUGUUCAUUUGAAAAUGACUUUUUAAAACCCAUGAAGUUAUUUUUAAUGGGAGUCUUAUUUAUUAAAGAUUCUUCUUGCUAUCUGCAGAUCCCAAACAAGAUUCUUUGGUGUCCUCAGCUUGCUCUUCUCCCUUUCCUUGGUAGACUUUUCUCUUGGUCUGUACUUGUAAUGCCUCCUGCCAAGUAGGAAAUGAAGAGUCAGUCCAUGUGCCGGGCUCAGGCCCUGCCGUUUUAGUGGCUUAAUGGAUGGCUUGGCACAACUAGGGAG